GAAAUGGGCUCAGUGGUAGAGCAUCUGCUUUACAUGCAGAAGGUCCCAGGUUCAAUCCCUGGUAUCUCCA